UCAAAUCCAAAGAGCUUCUGUAGAGAGCUGCUGUACCACACAUCGACUGAUGAACAUGCUGACAAUUUCAUUAUUCAGACUUCCUGAAAUUACCUCAGAAAAUUUGGUUGGAACGCUAUAGGUUGUUUGUCCAACAUACCAUUGUACUACAUAAGAUGCCACACUGGUAGAAGCACAGGCAGAUUAUGCACAAAGUAUAAGAAUUAAUUCUUAUUGUCUUUGGCUGUGUUAGCUUUCUUCAUACUGCAUUAUCAAAGACAAUGAGAUAAAACAGGUAACUUUUUUGAAAUUGCUAGAACUUCAACCAAAUUAUUAAUUUCUCAGGUGAUCAAAAAUACCUGAAAAUAUUUCAGAAGAUGAGAGAUUUGUGCUAAAACUUGGAAGAAAAAUUCAAUGUAAAUAUCAACCAAUGUUUAUGUACUGAUAUGUAUCAACUGAAAGUACUUUUUGAACAUAGAAUUUAUGAUUUUAUGAAGAAUAUUUAAAACAGUUGACUCUGUGAAAUAAUGUAGUGGUGAGAGAGAGAAAGAGGAGGGAAUGGGGAAAGAAAAUUUAGAAUAUCCACACCCAACAUAAAUUUUAAUUUAAGAAUAUUGAAUUAUUCAUAGUGGAAUCAAAUUACAGCCUGAUCAUAUUGUCCGUGCAAAUGUGCAUUCACUCCAGGCCAGUGAGAACAAGUUACAAAAUGUACAAAUAGCAUAACAUGGCUGACACUUUCAGCAGAAUUGACAUUUGACCUUUCUGAAUGGUGCCAGUGACAUGAGAGUUGUCUUUAUUGUUGGUGUGACUAUAGCAAUAACCAAGGUAGCUUCGGGAUUCCCCAUUAAAAUAUUUCCACGCGCACAUGCAGAAAAACAUGUAGGUCUCCUCGUAAAAUAUCUGUUAUCCGAUUUCCACCACAAUUGGCAUGUCUUGAGUAACAUUAGUAAAACUGCCCAACAUCAAAUUUUAUGACAUCCUAUGUUUUCAAUUUUAAUAAGGUAAACUGCAAAUGUGUCUAAACUUCAUAUAAUUUUAAAAUGAGGUACUGUAGUAUGAAUAUUGAUGCAACUGUAAGUACCAAGUCAUUCAGGGGAAACUAAUUAUAAUAAAUACAAGAGGUAUGUCUAAACUUGUAUUUAGCAUGUGAUUUGAAGGAGGAAUGGCAUGCAUCCCAACAGAUGGUCUCAGAUUUGAUCUCAUUCAUUGGUUCUUAACCUCAAAAUAAAAAUCCCUGUUAACUUCAUAAACAGCAGUGUUUGCAAAUGAACCACAAAUGUAUGAUCAGGUGGCAACAGACUUGCAUCAAAAUGUUUUUUUUUAUGUUUUGGUGUUGUUUGUGUACUCUUUUGUGCUUAAUCCAAUGGAUUCUUUCUGGUAAGUGCCCAUGAGUCUUCUCUCUUCCCACAACAUGGAUAGUAAAAAUUACUGCAUUUCUGAAGAUGCAGCUCUGUGCUGUGUCUGGUGGCAUGAUAUGGACCACCUUUAAAAACAUGUUGUAGAUAUAGUGAACAUGUCACCAUGUUUGAAUAUGUUUCUUUCAUGGCACCUGUCAGCAAUCACCGGUAAGUGUUUGUUUCCUGUAACUUGUGCAAUUUCCACUGUGUGAAAACAAUCCUUCAUUUAUUCAAUGUGAAAGAGAUUGUAGUAGCAUGUACUAAUUUAUACUUAAUGUUGUUUUAUAUGUUAUGAUAUUUUAAUAUGCUAAGAUGUAUAUAUUUAGUAAAUUCUGUAAGACUUA